AGGCAGAGGCCGGGUUCGAACCACGGACCUUCCAGUGAGUAGAUUCGCGCUCUAACCACUUGAGCCAUCUCGCC
rnacentral:tRNA from 11 species